rnacentral:rRNA from 1 species
AUUGAACACUGGCGGCAGGCUUAACACAUGCAAGUCGAGCGGAGAUGAGGUGCUUGCACCUUAUCUUAGCGGCGGACGGGUGAGUAAUGCUUAGGAAUCUGCCUAUUAGUGGGGGACAACAUUCCGAAAGGAAUGCUAAUACCGCAUACGCCCUACGGGGGAAAGCAGGGGAUCUUCGGACCUCGCGCUAAUAGAUGAGCCUAAGUCGGAUUAGCGAGUGGGUGGGGUAAAGGCCUACCAAGGCGACGAUCUGUGGCGGGUCUGAGAGGAUGAUCCGCCACACUGGGACUGAGACACGGCCCAGACUCCUACGGGAGGCAGCAGUGGGGAAUAUUGGACAAUGGGCGGAAGCCUGAUCCAGCCAUGCCGCGUGUGUGAAGAAGGCCUUUUGGUUGUAAAGCACUUUAAGCGAGGAGGAGGCUACCUGGAUUAAUACUCUAGGAUAGUGGACGUUACUCGCAGAAUAAGCACCGGCUAACUCUGUGCCAGCCGCCGCAGUAAGAC